rnacentral:rRNA from 1 species
GACGAACGCUGGCGGCGUGCUUAACACAUGCAAGUCGAACGGUGAUGCUCCAGCUUGCUGGAGUGGAUCAGUGGCGAACGGGUGAGUAACACGUGAGCAACCUGCCCCAGACUCUGGAAUAAGCGCUGGAAACGGCGUCUAAUACUGGAUACGAAACUGGCCCGCAUGGGCAUGGUUUGGAAAGUUUUUCGGUUUGGGAUGGGCUCGCGGCCUAUCAGCUUGUUGGUGAGGUAAUGGCUCACCAAGGCGACGACGGGUAGCCGGCCUGAGAGGGCGACCGGCCACACUGGGACUGAGACACGGCCCAGACUCCUACGGGGGGCAGCAGGGGGGAAUAUUGCCAAAGGGGCGAAAGCCUGAUGCAGGGACGCCGGGUGGGGGAGGACGGCCUUCGGGUGGUAAACCUCUUUCAGCAGGAAAGAAGCGAAAGGGACGGUACCUGAAGAAGAAGCACCGGCUAACUACGG